GACGAACGCUGGCGGCGUGCCUAAUACAUGCAAGUCGAACGAACUCUGGUAUUGAUUGGUGCUUGCAUCAUGAUUUACAUUUGAGUGAGUGGCGAACUGGUGAGUAACACGUGGGAAACCUGCCCAGAAGCGGGGGAUAACACCUGGAAACAGAUGCUAAUACCGCAUAACAACUUGGACCGCAUGGUCCGAGCUUGAAAGAUGGCUUCGGCUAUCACUUUUGGAUGGUCCCGCGGCGUAUUAGCUAGAUGGUGGGGUAACGGCUCACCAUGGCAAUGAUACGUAGCCGACCUGAGAGGGUAAUCGGCCACAUUGGGACUGAGACACGGCCCAAACUCCUACGGGAGGCAGCAGUAGGGAAUCUUCCACAAUGGACGAAAGUCUGAUGGAGCAACGCCGCGUGAGUGAAGAAGGGUUUCGGCUCGUAAAACUCUGUUGUUAAAGAAGAACAUAUCUGAGAGUAACUGUUCAGGUAUUGACGGUAUUUAACCAGAAAGCCACGGCUAACUACGUGCCAGCAGCCGCGGUAAUACGUAGGUGGCAAGCGUUGUCCGGAUUUAUUGGGCGUAAAGCGAGCGCAGGCGGUUUUUUAAGUCUGAUGUGAAAGCCUUCGGCUCAACCGAAGAAGUGCAUCGGAAACUGGGAAACUUGAGUGCAGAAGAGGACAGUGGAACUCCAUGUGUAGCGGUGAAAUGCGUAGAUAUAUGGAAGAACACCAGUGGCGAAGGCGGCUGUCUGGUCUGUAACUGACGCUGAGGCUCGAAAGUAUGGGUAGCAAACAGGAUUAGAUACCCUGGUAGUCCAUACCGUAAACGAUGAAUGCUAAGUGUUGGAGGGUUUCCGCCCUUCAGUGCUGCAGCUAACGCAUUAAGCAUUCCGCCUGGGGAGUACGGCCGCAAGGCUGAAACUCAAAGGAAUUGACGGGGGCCCGCACAAGCGGUGGAGCAUGUGGUUUAAUUCGAAGCUACGCGAAGAACCUUACCAGGUCUUGACAUACUAUGCAAAUCUAAGAGAUUAGACGUUCCCUUCGGGGACAUGGAUACAGGUGGUGCAUGGUUGUCGUCAGCUCGUGUCGUGAGACGUUGGGUUAAGUCCCGCAACGAGCGCAACCCUUAUUAUCAGUUGCCAGCAUUAAGUUGGGCACUCUGGUGAGACUGCCGGUGACAAACCGGAGGAAGGUGGGGAUGACGUCAAAUCAUCAUGCCCCUUAUGACCUGGGCUACACACGUGCUACAAUGGAUGGUACAACGAGUUGCGAACUCGCGAGAGUAAGCUAAUCUCUUAAAGCCAUUCUCAGUUCGGAUUGUAGGCUGCAACUCGCCUACAUGAAGUCGGAAUCGCUAGUAAUCGCGGAUCAGCAUGCCGCGGUGAAUACGUUCCCGGGCCUUGUACACACCGCCCGUCACACCAUGAGAGUUUGUAACACCCAAAGUCGGUGGGGUAACCUUUUAGGAACCAGCCGCCUAAGGUGGGACAGAUGAUUAGGGUG
rnacentral:rRNA from 1 species